rnacentral:rRNA from 1 species
AUUGAACGCUGGCGGCAGGCCUAACACAUGCAAGUCGAGCGAGCGGCGGACGGGUGAGUAAUGUAGGGGGUCUGCUCGAUAGAGGGGGAUAACUACUGGAAACGGUGGCUAAUACCGCAUACUGUCGGAUAACCCAUAUGGGAUUAGCUAGUAGGUAAGGUAAUGGCUUACCUAGGCGACGAUCCCUAGCUGGUCUGAGAGGAUGAUCAGCCACAGUGGGACUGAGACACGGCCCAGACUGCUACGGAGGGAGCAGUGGGAAAUAUGUGACAAUGGGCGCAAGCCUGAUGCAGCCAUGCCGCGUGGGGGAUGAGGGCUUUCGGGUUGUAAACCUCUUUCGCUAUCGAACGGGUAGGUGAAGAAGAAGCGCCGGCUAACUACGUGCCAGCCGCCGCGGUAAUUC